UACGAAGGGGGCUAGCGUUGCUCGGAAUUACUGGGCGUAAAGGGAGCGUAGGCGGGUUAUCAAGUUGGAGGUGAAAGCCCAGGGCUCAACCCUUGGAAUUGCCCUUCAAAACUGAUAGCCUAGAGUAUGAUAGAGGUAAGUGGAACUCCGAGUGUAGAGGUAGAAAUUCGUAGAUAUUCGGAAGAACACCAGUGGCGAAGGCGACUUACUGGAUCAUGACUGACGCUGAGGCUCGAAAGCGUGGGAGCAAACAGG
rnacentral:rRNA from 1 species